rnacentral:misc_RNA from 1 species
AAGUACUCCCUCCGUCCUAUAAAAAAUCAAUUUAGUACUAGAUGUGACACAUCCUAGUACUACAAUGGAUAUAUCUCUGUCCAAAUUCAUUUUAUUAGAAUGUGUCACAUCCGGUUCUAGAUUCGUUUUUUAUAGAGGGAGUAUUUACAA